rfam:Flavobacterium segetis strain DSM 19741 genome assembly, contig: Ga0131139_102
AUGUUAUAAAGAAAGGCAGAGGGAUUAGACCCGAUGAAGCCUUAGCAACCCUUCGAUUUAUCGAAGAAGGUGCUGCAUUCUACCACGCUCACCGUGGAAAGAUAACAC